rnacentral:rRNA from 1 species
UGGGGAAUAUUGCACAAUGGGGGGAAACCCUGAUGCAGCAACGCCGCGUGAAGGAAGACGGUUUUCGGAUUGUAAACUUCUGUUCUUAGUGAAGAAUAAUGACGGUAGCUAAGGAGCAAGCCACGGCUAACUACGUGCC